GGGUAACGGUGCUAACCAGUGUGCUGCCCUGGUAAGAGGAGAACCACUGAGGGAACGCCUUCCGCCCACCGACGCCUCCACCGUGACCUCCACUUCUGAGAGGAAUUGCCUACAGAUCAAGUACGGAGUGUGCCUGAAUGGACAUACAGAACUCCAAGGUUCGGCCCUGCGUUGAGGGUUUUCCCAAAGGGGAGGGCCCGGCGGGCGGUGCCUCACAGCCCUCCGCCUGUGGGAGUGGCCCUUUCUACUAAGGAAGCAAGUUCUGCAUGUCCUGGUGACCCUCCACCUGUUUCAUAGAGUCUCAGGGGAGCUCGAGCCUAUCCCAGCUAUCUUAGGGGGAGAGGCAGGGUACACUCUCGACUGGUCACCAGUCUGUUGCAGGGCUAACACAUAGACACAGAAAACCAUUGGCACCUAUGGGCAAUUUAGAUUUUCCAAUUAGGCUAUUUCCACUAACUGCAGGUCGUUGGACUGUGGCAGGAAGCCGGAGUACAAGGAGAGAAC